rfam:Parachlamydia-related symbiont TWE25, complete genome
CUGGGAAGAGAAGUCAUCGCUGCUUUUCUGUUGAAAGAAGAGGAGAGGAAAGUCUGGACUUCGCAGGAGAAGAUACCAAUGAAAGAUUGGGGGCCGUAAGGCUACGGAAAGUGUAACAGAAAAUAUUCCGCUAUUAAACACUUUGUGUUUUGAUAGACAGGGUGAAAUGCUAGCUUUGGGAGCUAUGCCUGAUUUGAGGAGACUCAAACAGUGACAAACCCUAUCUGAAGCAAGACCGACAAGAGCAUAUUCUGUCUCCACAGAGCUCUCAAGAGUUGCUUGAGGAUGUCGGCGACGCCAUCCCUAGAUGAAUGAUGACUAGGCUAACUUUUUUGUUAGUCGACAGAAUCCGGCUUAAUAUCUUCCCAGACUU